AACGAACGCUGGCGGCAUGCCUAACACAUGCAAGUCGAACGAGGCCUUCGGGACAGGUGGCGUCCGGGUGCGUAACGCGUGGGAACCUGCCCUUAGGGUCGGAAUCACUCCCCGAAACGGGUGCUAAUACCGGAUAAUGUCCUCGGACCAAAGAUUUAUAGCCUUUGGAUGGACCCGCGUUGGAUUAGCUAGUUGGUAGGGUAAAAGCCUACCAAGGCGACGAUCCUUAGCUGGUCUGAGAGGAUGAUCAGCCACACUGGGACUGAGACACGGCCCACACUCCUACGGGAGGCAGCAGUGGGGAAUAUUGGACAAUGGGCGAAAGCCUGAUGCAGCGAUGCCGCGUGAAUGAAGAAGGCCUUAGGGUUGUAAAGCUCUUUUACACGGGAUGAUAAUGACAGUACCGUGAGAAUAAGCCCCGGCUAACUCCGUG
rnacentral:rRNA from 1 species